GGGAGUAACAUCCCUCAUCUUAGAGUCAACGACGGUCGCAAACUACUAGCGUUGAAUGGCAUCCGGACAGAAACGAAAGGCUUCGUCUAUGUUGACGACUGUCCGUACGAAGGUGCAAGAAAGAACAUGCUGAU
rnacentral:ribozyme from 1 species